AGCGACGUUGGAACUCGACAGCCAACCGCUGCCUUCAGUGGAAAGCGGUAGUACUGACGGCGCAACAGCUGUAAGUGGGCUUGCGUAUCGACACCAGUACUUCAAAAGUUCCAGAAGUUAAAAGAAUUGUUCGGCUUAAGUACAAAGAAACACAAUAGAAUCAGUGAAAAUAUGCACAAAACAAGACAAACAGCCAAAAUAUAAAAGUCAACAGACUGUGCAAAUACAAAAAGAAGAAAAAUCAGGUCAGGAGCCUGCACGAGGACUGAGCACGCAGAAGGACAGUAGCUGAUUUCAAGAAGGAACACUGAGGGGUGAGACAGAGAAGAUAGUUCCGAGGUAAUUUCAUUGAUCGUCUUUUCCAUCGAAGACAUCUUCAGUUCUUGAUCUUUAAUAGUUUGCCUGAAUUGUUUGUGUUCGUUCUCAAUUCGAUUCAAGGCCAUUGCUGCAAGAGGACUCCAGACCCGUCAUUCCUGCAUCGAUGCUCAAAAUCAUCAGUCAAAUCCAGCAACAUCAAGGCAUCGAGAAAUGUCACCCAAGAGGAAGGCCUGGUCUGAGCACACUGCUGGGAGAUUAUGUAGAGCAAUGUAGAGCACACAGAAAACUGUACAAAAUUCAUGCUGAAUCUCUCUGUCCCACAGAUUUCCCAGACUUUCUAGGGCAAAUUGCAGGCACAGACACUUUUGAGCUGGAUAGAGACAAAUGACUUCUCACUGUGGAUUACCACUUACUGUCUAAGCUGUCCGCUACAUCCUCAGCAGCAGUUACACAGGACCUGAAAGCACCAUGGAACACCAGAGACACUUGUGUCAGACACGGCCCACAGUUCAGCUGCUCAGAAUUCAAAGCCUUUGCGAGGGACAAUGAAUUCAAACAGCAGACAAGCAGUGCACAGUACCCACAGGCAAAUGGAGAUGCAGAAAGACCAGUGCAAAUUGUUAAGAGUCUUAGUCCAUGAGCCAGGACCCCAAAUUUGGACCACCGGUACCAUCUGGGCGGGGGGGGGGGGAUUAAUUCUUACAGUGAAUUUUGGCAAGGUAUAUGCCCUUAUAUGCCCUUAGUGCUUAGUAAAUAUGUGAUAGCAUUUCAGUGGUGGUAGCUUUCUGUGUGUUAUCACUCGAUUUAUAACCCCAUGCCAAAACACACUUUUCAAAGCUAUACGUAGCACAGAAUAAAGCAUUCUACUUCAAACUGAUGGUUCUCUCUGAAUAUUGAGACUUUGUCUUCGAAAAUUGGUGGGAGUGUAGCUCAGACUAAAUGUUUUUCAGAAAAUUUCUUAAAAUUAGCAUCUCUACAAAUGUUAUCUUACUACUGGCACUGACAACACAGCAACUAUACAUUACAUAAGAUGUACUUCUGUUUUCAUGUUCUGUUUCACAUUUAUAUCCUGUAUAUCUCCAUUUGUACACACAUUUAUAUCACCCUUGCAGCAGGUGCUUUUUUCACCAGCAAUGUUAAUGUGAUUUUUUUCUGUUUCAGGUACUGUGGUGGUGGGAUAGUCCUGCACAAUAGAGGAGAGACAAGAGUAGAGUAGAUUUAGAUCUGGAGUAGCUGAAUCACUUUGCUUCAGAAUGGAGAGCCAGAAGCACAAAGAAUCUAUUAAGAAGCAGUGUAUCAUGCACCUGAAAACAUCAAAAGAAGAUGAUGGCCAUUUAGUUAGUCCUCAAGACUAUAAAUCCUGGAAAACAUUACUUGAAGCAGCCAAAGUGAGAAACUAUGCCCCUAUUUUAGACGUUGCUAAAGAACUUGGAGAAAAAUAAGUCCUAAAAAUCUACUAUCACCGUAAAUGCCGAAGCCUCUUCACCACGAAGGGAGACUUAGAGACUCUGAAAAGGAAAGCCAAGGAAAGCAUUACUGAUGAAGCUGGUGAGCAUACAUCAAAAAUGCCGAGUAGGAGAUCCUCAGCAGAAGCAAGGGUAUAUAGUCAAAUCUUUUUUUUUGUAAUAAGGUGAAAUUUCUGAAGGGCUCCAAGUCACGUGAAAAGCUUAUACAGGCUGUACAACUCAGUGUUGACCAAACACUACGGGAAUGUGCAACCCAAAAGGAAGAUGAAAAGAUUCUAGCAGUAACAAGCAGACACAUGGUUGCUGCAGGGGCCCACUAUCAUGUUUCAUGCUACAAGGAUUAUACCAGAAUCAAGAAAAAGGAAGCUAGUACAAAGAGAAUGAUGAUGAAACAGGUGGUGGUGAACUGUAUAAAGGAUUGAAAGGGAAGCCUAUGAAGACCUUUUCAAGUAUAUCAGAACUGAUAUCAUAACCAACAAGAUAAUUGUACAAGUCACUUCUUUGGUCACGAAACUUGAUUCUUUCAUACUAUCUGGUGGAGUUAAACUCCUGCAAGAUUCUACAAGGAAGCACGUUCGUAGGAAACUGGAAUCUGAGCUGGGCAAUUCAGGAGAUAUAUGUCCAGAUGACAAAAGAAAAUUGUUAAUGGUUCCUGAAAGUAUAUCAUUAAGGAACAUUGUCUUGGAAAAUCAAACUCUACAGAGGGAACUCAAAGUUGGGAGGGCCAAGGCAACCAAUUUCGACAAGAUCAUAGCUUAGACUUCAUCACAUAUCAGGUCCUGUCCACACCAGAAGGACUGCUGAGAAAGACAAAUAAAGCUACUUUAGCCACAACCUUGCAGGAAAAUGUAACAAUAGAGGAGCAACUCCCAGGAAACUCUGCUACAGUGGUUGAUGGAAUGAACUUGGUCCAAAGAGUGAAAGGUGAUCAAGCUACUUUCAGAGAUGUUGCCACAACAAUUCUGGGUAUGUCUCUGAGGGAAGGCAGUCAGAGUAGAAGAACAGAUGUUGUGUUCGACACAUACAAGGAGAACUCUAUCAAGAAUAGUGAAAGGCCUCUACGGGGUGAAGAGCCUGGUCAUGAGUUACAAGGUAUCACUGGCACACAGAUAGUGAGGCAGUGGAGGAGUUUCCUGACCAAAGUCAAUAACAAAAAUAGUCUCUUUAGCUUCAUAGUCCAUGAAUGGAGGAGGGUGGAGUACAGAGCAAAACUACAGGAGAAGAUUCUAUAUGCAACUGUGAAUGACAAAUGUUAGAGAAUCACAUCGCAAGACAGUGAGGAGGUGUCAGCUCUUCAGUGUCAACAAGAAGAAACAGAUGGCAGCCUACUUCUCCAUGCUGCCCAGAGAGGGAUACCAAUCUGUAGUGAUAUGCUCAGAAGACACAGAUCUCUUUAGCAUUUUGUGACAAGAUUGUUCCAGAAGUGUGGCACUAGAACCCGUACAAGGCUUGUAGACAUUAGGAAGGUUGCUGACACUGUUGGUACAGAGAUUUGUAGGACUCUCAUCGGGUUGCAUGCAUGUACAGGAUGUGACACUGUAAAUGCUUUUGCAGGCAAAGGGAAGACAAGUGUCCUAAAACUUCUGACCAGCAACAGGGAAACUCGGGACAUUUUCUUAGAGUUGGGUCAGGAAUGGGACCUCUCCCCAGAACUGAUAGACAAACUGGUGGCAUUUACAUGUCUCCUGUGUGCGCCAAAAGCUUCGACCACCAAGGUCAAUGAGCUCAGGUAUCACCUUUUCUGUGCCAAAAAAGCUCAAAUCGAAAGUCAUCAACUCCCACCAUGCAAGGGCUGCUUAACAAAACAUGCACAGUGAGCCAACUACCAGGCUGGUAUGUGGAGAAGAUGUUUGGAGAAGGACCCACAAGUGCCAAGCACUGUUGGCAGAGGAUGGAAGAUGGUGAGAGAAGAGGAAGCUGAACAGUUGACGGUGCACUGGAUGGAAGGCCAGCCAGCACCCGUUGCCAUCCUGGAUCUACUGGCCUGUAACUGUCCAAAAAAUUGUUCACUCCCAAAAUGUAUGUGUGUUGCAAAUGGCCUCAGGUGUACUGACAUGUGUAGGCCGGCAGACUGUGAGAACCAGGCAUCCACCUCAGAGAGUGUGGAAAGUUCUGAUGAAGAUGUGGAAAACAUGGAAGACUUGGAAAAUUAUUAUGAUUAUUAAUAGGUUAUGAAAGUAUGGAAAACAAAGUAUGGAAAGCAGUCUUUGAUUAAGUAUAUUCAUUUUACAACCAAAUGGAGCCUAGGUUAUGGCCAUGUGAAACCCCACAUUUGAACUAUUGUACUGUAAUUCUAGCUGCUAUGACAAAAGCUUAAGAUUGUUUUGAUUUGAUACAACAAUAUGGAAAAUAUCAUGACAUUGAUAAGACUCCAGAAAUCUCUCCAAAUGAGGCUUUUUACCUUUUGGGGGGUGGGUAACAUUUUCUGCUGUACUGACGUUAAUAUGGAAUAUAUACAAAAAGUCAUUACUUAUUUUAAGUAAUAAAGCUACCACCAGUGCAAUGCUAUCACAUAUUUUCUAACUCUAGAGAUGUAGACCUUGCCAAAAAUCACUAUGAGCAUUAUUCCCCUCAGAUGGUACCAACUAGCCCUACUGGCUCAGGGAUUAUCUCCUACUGAAGGCAAAAGUCCCCUACAAAGCACUAUUGCUCCACGCUCCUUGUCAAUAGUUACUGUCUGACAGAGCUGUCAAUGGGCCAGAGACUAAGAACAAGCCUACCCAUUCUUCCUUCCCUUCUCCAACUUCACUUAAUGGACUUGGACAAAUUGAGAAAUAUUGAGCCAACACAGCGUGAGAAAACGAUGAGCAUGUAGGAUCUCAGACACAGACCAAAAUCUGUUACCAUUCAGGAGUGGUGAAGCUGUUUGGGUUUCAGAUCAAUACACCUGAGGAACAAUAGGCCGGCAGCAUGGACCACAAUCGUUUGUGAAUAGAACAGCACAAGGUGAAAUCAGGCAGAACAAGUGUGCGUUUGUAGAGAAAGAAAUAAAGUGGCCUGAUCCUCAUGACGAGGACCACUUACCUGACAUGGACACACCUGUUCAAGAAUCUCCACCCACUCCAACAUUUCCAGGAACCCAUACCAGAUCGUGUCAUUUAUCUGUCCCACCGCAGAGAUACACUCCAUUGCCUAAUGGCUUAGAGCAAGAGACUAAAAAGGAAGAUUAAUCUUCACUCUUUGCCACAGUGUUCAGGUAGUCUACCUUGACUUUCAUUAGAUUUAAUGUUUUUUAAAAAAAGAGUUCUAAUGUUGUAAGCAUUUCACAAAAUUAGACUUAAUUAAAAAAAGUGAAUUGGUGGAAAAAAGUGAAAACGAGAAAGGGAGAGAGAGAGAGAGACUACUUAAAGAGAAAGUCGGUUAUAACGUUUGCAAUUAUUUUUAUGUUUAUUUAAGGAGCAUAAGUUAUGUUCUAUUGGUAAAGUGAACUGAAUUGCUCAAUUUCAGUGACAAAAAUUUCAAUGCAGUUUUAUGGACAAAAAUUACAUAUCUAGUUUUUCUCUUUUUUUUCCCCAAGAAGGGGAGUUGUAGUGGUAGUUAAUAGUGUUAUUCCUAUGAUACUCAGUUAGUCACUCCCAUAUGGGAGGAGUUUACAUAAUGUACAGGGAUGGUUGACAAUAAAGUUCAGUUGAAUGUCCUGCACGCUGGUGUCCUGGUGUGCUUUGCACUCUCCCUCAAUAACAAACACAACAGAUGAAGCACAGCUGAUCAAAUAAAAGAAAGCAUUAGAUCAAAUGAAGAAGCCUAUAAAGCUGUUCAAAGUAGAUGGUAGCCUGGGUGUAGGAGGUUUUUAGAACUUAGCAAGGAAGACCAAGAUAUUGUUAGAGAAAAGCAAGAUAGACAACAAGAAUAGACAAAAGAGACACAGAACCAAUAAUCUAUAAUAGCUUCUCUUUAAGUAUAUGAAAACAAAAAGACUAUUUUUGGCAAAUGUGAGCUCCUUACAGACAGAGUCAAGAGAAUUUAUAAAGGUGAAUUAGGAAAGUAAGAGGGAUUAAACAAUUACUAUGAUCAGAAAAAGGCCGGCUGGUGACAUAGUGGCAUCAGCGCUGGACUUCGGGGUGAGAGGUCCCGAGUUCGAAUCCGGCCAGCUCCCUUACACGCUUUCCAUCCGUGCCUGGGUUGAGUGUCGGGCUAGCAACUCGACCUCAUUAAAAAAAACUUGCAGAGGGAUGGGCUGCGCCAGGUUUCAGAUGCCCAAGACACAUCGUUUGAUGAGCAGUCACCAAAAAAGAUCGGUUCAAAAACCUUGUCAUGACAACGCCCUGACAACUCCACCAGAGGAGUUAAGGGUGCACACACUCACAAACACGAUCAGAAAACCUGCUUGAUGCAAAACAGAAUCAAGGGUCUGAUGAGAAUAGGGAACUGAAAGGCAUAUACUUCUCUGUAACUUCCACCUCCAACAGAGUUCACCACAAUGGGGACUCUUUUUAAAACAAAGGGGGGGUGAAUGUGGUGAACUGCAUAUACCCGUCUGGACACGCCCCCCUGCUGACUGCUCCUGUGGCUCCUCCCACAGACCCCUGGAUAAAGGCGGUUGAGGCCUGAGCCCGGCCUCUCAGUCUCCAGGAUGUAGUAUGGUGGUCAACCACUGCUUGUUCCUUCUUCCAGUCAAUAAAAGUCGAUAUCUCGCCUUAUGUCUCAGAGAGAGUUAUUGAUGGUGCAUCAGUUCUUGUACACAAGUCACUGCAAGCCAAUGUGCAGGUGCAGAAGGGAAACAGCAACAGCAGCUACAAAAGCAGCAGCCUUUUUUAUGAGAGAAUUUUUGUUGCAGAAAUAAGGAAGUGUUUAACAAGUGUAUAGAGACACAGUGAAUCUGUACCUGGAACAUUGUGAGUUGAUUUAGUCCUCCUGUCUAUGAUCAGAGAUACUUACCACCAAGGAAGUGUAGCAAAUGUUUGUUACAUUGGUUCCAGGGAAGAUGGGUUUGCUGUAUGAGAAGAAAUUAAAUAGACCGAGGCUGUAUUCAUUAGAGUUUAGAAGACUGAAAGGGGAUGAUUUUGAAAUUACAAAUAUUACAAAUUUCUCAAAGGCCUUGACAGGCCAGAGGCAGGAAAGACAAAGAUGCUGAGGAGCAUAGGAUCAAAGGAAACAGUUUAACAAUAAGGAACAGGGCGUUUAGCAAUGAGACAUGGAGACAUUUCUUUAGUUAGAGAAUCCUUUAUCCUGGAUAGCAAUGGACCUUCAGUCAUGGAACUUAUUCAAAACAAAGAUUGAUAUAUUUCUGAGCAUUAAAGGCCUGUAAUGAUAUAAGGCUGGAAAAUGACACUGAAGUAGAUAUUAGCCAUAAUCCUAAUGAUUGGUAUAAGAGGCUUGAGGAGUAAUAUGAUCUACGCGGGUUCCUUUUCCUUAUGCUAGUUCUAGGAAACCUUCAGCGAACAGAACCAACUAUUGUGUUAAACCAAUUAGUUUGUAACAUUAAUUAAAUUAAUUGCUAAAUAAAAGACUGUUAACUUAUGUAGCUGCAUUAAAAGUACAUCACAUGAAUUUCUCAACCAUAACCUACAUUUUGAUACUGUCCUUCUUAUAGGACAAUGUCCCGAUGAACUUUAAGGAGUGAAACACUGUCAUAAUAUUGAAAGACAAAAUGUAGAGAAUAUUUAAGUAGUAUCUGUGCAGAGAAAAACAGACCUAAUGUUGCAGCUGAAUAUUGAACUCAGCAAUUUCAGAUAAUCAGUUUAUCCACUUUGCUUCACAGAUGACCUUUUCUGAUUUAUCGUAAUCUAUCCACAACAAUAACCUAUUUUUCUCUCUUUCUGUGGAUGCUACGUGAUCUGCUAAACAUUUCCAAGAUUUUAUUGAGGACAACAAAGACUAGAACAAGGCCAAGGGAAAUGACUGUUCAUGAUCUGUAUGUUUAUUGAUGAUUUUGUUAAGACCCAUUUCUGAGUCUAACACUUCGAUAUUUUCAUAAUCAACACAAGGCUGGAGUAGCAAAUUGGUCAGCAGCAGGAAACUAUUAAAUAUAGCCAAGGACUGAACUCUCUAGGUAGUGACCAGCCUUAUCUGUCUCAUCUGUACACUCUGCUGUACUAUUCAUAUCAAAGGAGAAAUCAACACAAAUUUAAAAAAACGCAAAUGCGGCUUUUGGCAGACUAUGAGCAAGUGUGUGGGAGCCCCAGAGGGUCAGCCAACAUGCAACGGUUUUGUGUUGCCACAGCAAUACACAAAGAGCAUGCUGAAGAACUGAACUGCUUUGGUUGUCUCUGGAAACUGGUUGAGGUAAAACGGCAGGUUGUAGCACUUCAGCCGUUUGCAAGGACAAAGGCUGGAUGGGAGAUUAGUGGGGAGGGACAAAUGGACAAGGGAAUCAUGGAGGCAGAAAACAGAGUGGUGGUGGUGGGGUGGGUUAAAGAUAUGUUUAGUGGUAGGAUCCCUUUAGAGAUAGCAGAAGUUGCAGAGGAUUAUGUGUUGGAUGUGAAUGCUCGUGGGGUGGUAUGUAAGGACAACAGGAACUCUAUCACUUUAGGGCUGUAAUAGGUAAAGACCAAGAAGUGUAAGCUUGAAAUAUCCAUGAAAUGAAAUAUUGAAUUCCAUAAAGGAUAUUCCCAUGGUCUUUGAGACUAGCUGGCAUGUCAGAGGAGCCAGAUUAGUUUCAGAGGAGCUGCCUGCUGCACGAAGGCAAUGGAAUUGGUGUGUGAAGCGGCAUGCAGUGUAACUUCAGGUCUUGGAGGGUUCUCUUGUGAUUGCAAGAUCCUGUUGGACAAUGAUAGUGUAAGAUGGCACAGGCCUGCUUCCUUAGUUUGGUGGGUUGACGGGCAGUAGGGAAACUGUGUUGCCUCGGUUGUAGUGAGGACCAGGCUUCAAGCUGCGGCCUUGCCUACCGUUGCAGCCCAGGAGCGGAGAUGCCAGAGGCGGUGCAGCGUGGUGUCCGUGCUGGGUCGGAGGCCGGCCUCUCCUGUCAGUGCUGCCCUCCAGUGUUCGUUCGGCGGAAUAACAAGCUGGAUUGCAUACGUCUGUGCACUGCCGCGAACUGUACUAUCAUUUUGGGGGACAUGUUACUCGGGGUAUUGGCCACGUGUUUCUUUGCAUGACUAUUUUUUCCUUUUGCUCGCUGAAUGUGCUGUGAAUGUUUUGCACUUUGUUUCAUUCAGCUGUAUACAUGUAUGGUUGAAUUGAUUGAUUUUGAUUUAAUAAGACUGUGCAUAAUUUUAUCCACAUCUUUCUGCCCUAUUCUUCCUUCAGUGAUUAUAAACAAUUAACAGUAUUUCUGACACCUGGGACAGAACUGCCUAACUUUUGCUCUUCCUUCUACGUACAGAAAGCUUUCUAAUCUUGUGGUCUGAAAUGGAAAAUAUGUGUUAGAUAUUGUUCAUCUAAUGCACUCUUACUAAAAGUACAACCUACCUGGUGUAGUCUCUCAGCUUUUCCUUCCAGGUGAGAUGUUAAACAGGGAAACCCCCAUUAGCACAGCUUGUCACUAAAAGUCCCUAGCAGACCUGCUAGCAUUUUUCUCUCAAUGAACACCAGCAAAAAUGAACACCAAACAGAGAUUUGACCAACUCGGUUCUAUUUAUGGCAUGUGAUUGUAUUUUAUUGCUGCCUUAUUUUCUAUGUAAUAAAUCCAUUGUACUGAU